rnacentral:rRNA from 1 species
AGAGUUUGAUCCUGGCUCAGGAUGAACGCUAGCGGCAGGCUUAACACAUGCAAGUCGAGGGGUAUAGGAAGCUUGCUUCCUAGAGACCGGCGCACGGGUGCGUAACGCGUAUGCAAUCUACCUUUUGCAGAGGGAUAGCCCAGAGAAAUUUGGAUUAAUACCUCAUAGUAUGUGAGAAUGGCAUCAUUUUCACAUUAAAGUCACAACGGCAAAAGAUGAGCAUGCGUCCCAUUAGUUAGUUGGUAAGGUAACGGCUUACCAAGGCAACGAUGGGUAGGGGUCCUGAGAGGGAGAUCCCCCACACUGGUACUGAGACACGGACCAGACUCCUACGGGAGGCAGCAGUGAGGAAUAUUGGACAAUGGGCGCAAGCCUGAUCCAGCCAUGCCGCGUGCAGGAUGACGGUCCUAUGGAUUGUAAACUGCUUUUGUACAGGAAGAAACACUGGUUCGUGAACCAGCUUGACGGUACUGUAAGA